UGUAUCUCAUUGAUUUAACGAUUGAAAUUCUUCGAGAAUUGAUUUCAUGAAGAAUUUCGGGAUAAAAAGCUGAGGAAUGCCAUGGCGAAUGCUUUGUCUUCUGAAAAUAUUUUUCAUCCAAUUUAAACGGAUACAAGUGUCCAGUCGAGUCUUUGUUCCAAUUGUUGAAACCAGCAAUCUUGGUUUUGCUGGAGAAGGGUAUCGAGAUAGUUGUCGCGACCCUCGGUGAAGAUGGGAGUUUUCUUAUGCUCAAGAGGACCAAACUUGAUGAGAUUUAAUUUGGGUAGAACCAGCUAAGCACAAGGCACCUUUUUUCUAAGAAGCAUGUCAAUGAUGUCUUCUGCCAAUGGUAUCCAUGUUUUGAGUUGUUCAUCUGGUAGUAACAGCUAAUUAACUAAAUGGCUCGAGUGUGUGUUCUGGUUUGAUUUGUAUGAAGGAACCGUGUUUGAUC
rnacentral:lncRNA from 1 species